CGCACGCUCCUUAGAUCCGUUUCAUUUUCGAUGUGAAACGCUUGAGUCAUAAGUGUGCAAGAGCAUAAUACCUCCAUACUGAGACUGAUAUGUGAUUUUCUUAAGAUGUUCACUUGUCUCGGAAUGGGGAACAU